rnacentral:lncRNA from 1 species
GCCGCUUAUUCGGCGGGCCGUCCACCAGGUGGUCGGCCAUGGUUUCUUUAUAGGAUUAAUUAUUUCUUCUUUCAGGCUGUUUACUCCCGGUAGCAAGUACGCGGCGGCGGCGGCAGCAAGUCGGGACGACCGCACGCACGCACGCACGCAGGCAGACACGCACGCAGGCACGUAUACACGGGUACACACACGGGCGAAACGCUGCACUACGCCACUAGAAGAUUGCUGCUGCUGUUGCUAUUACUGCUAGUAUUGCUGCUUCCUCCUCCUCGGUGAAGCCGCAAAAAUUCACCAAGCUCUUAGCAUAUUCGCAAGCAUGACAAUAACAAUGAAAACCGCGGCGCGUGGAGCGUCCCCGAGCACGCUUCGAUACACGAUCAACCAUUGGGCAUCGUCGGGGGUACGUCGAACCCCGCGCUAAAGCCUACACACACAGUAAAUUUUUCGAUAGAUGCACGGACCACUCGCGCGAGAACAGGCCAAGAAAUUAACAAGACUAUCAGUAUCGUAAUUCUGAGGAUCACCACUCAGAUUAAAUGCACACACCACCAAACGAGUUCUCACGUUAUAUUCGGUCUAGACGGUCGCUCACGACUCGUCAAACACUCAAGUGUGGCGGACUGGCUGCGCGCACGGCGCUAGCUCACAGCAACGAUAUCGCUCUUGAGGCCCGCUGGCACCAUCUUUCUCUCCUCUUCUCUCGCCUUGGUACACUGCGACACGGGGCGCGCGAAUGAUCACCGCGGACGCGGCUCGCUUUCCCCACACAUUCGAGGCAAUCACGGACGCCAGGAGGCAAAGACGAACAAAUGAGUCGGCUCCGGGGCGGCCACCGCGCGCCACAGAAAUUCGCUCGGGAAAAGCGAUCGCGAGAGUUCUGCACCGCACGAGUAUCGGCUAACGUAAAAUGGCGGCUGCUGUUGACGAGAAGUUUUUCUACGCUUGUCAGAAAAUGUCCGACUGGUUCCGUAUAGUUGCCGUGACAUUAGACUAGCCAUCUGAUUGGUCUACAUGAUCAUGUGACCUAAUCACUUGCUAUUAUUGGUCAAACUGCUGCGAGGCCACGAACGCUGUGAUUACGUUCACGCCGCCGGUCCAACAGCCGCGAGAAUUUCGUUUAUUCCUCUGCCGCCAUUUGAUAAAGGCCGGUCCUGCAUAGUGGUUGAAUAAUAAGAAAAUCAAAAAUUGUAUUUAUUACUGCAUUGACAAAAUCAAGAGUGAUAAAGGGAUAUCAUUACAAGAUGGCCAGGGAUUUCUCGAUCGACAGGUUAAAAGGAAGAAUGUACACAUAUACAAGGUGGGGAGUUUGCGUUGCGCAGAACGUCCUCUGUUCGAGAAAGAAAAUCUGACUCGUGAUAGAUAUGCGUUUGUGUGCGCUCGCACGCGCACGAUAGUGUCAGAUACACAGAAUUGUGUAAAGAAAAAGGUGAACAUGAGAAGAGAGGGAGUAUUGGAAAUGGGACGGGAAUUAGAUGACGCCGUGGCAGCAGCCACCUAGCCACCCAUUUCAGUGACAGCGACAGCGAUUCUUUA